UACAGAGGUCUCAAGCGUUGUUCGGAUUCAUUGGGCGUAACGAGCUCGUAGGCGGUUCAGUAAGUCGGGUGUGAAAGCUCCGAGCUCAACUCGGAGAGGCCACCCGAUACUGCUGUGACUUGAGUCCAGUAGAGGAGCGUGGAAUUCCUGGUGUAGCGGUGAAAUGCGCAGAUAUCAGGAGGAACACCAGCAGCGAAGGCGGCGCUCUGGGCUGGAACUGACGCUGAGGAGCGAAAGCGUGGGUAGCAAACAGG
rnacentral:rRNA from 1 species